GGUCUAGUGGUGUAAUGGUUAUCACGUCUCGCUCACAAAGUGGCUUCAAUCUACGAGUGCCGAGGAGGCUCAGAGUUCGAUCCUCUGCUGGAUCA
rnacentral:tRNA from 2 species